UAAUACAGAGGAGCCAAGCGUUGUCCGGAUUGACUGGGCGUAAAGCGCACGCAGGCGGACGCGCGCGUGGGGUGUGAAAUCUGGCCGCUUAACGGCCAGGCGCCAUCCCAUACGGCGCGUCUGGAGCCAUGCAGAGGGCGGUGGAAUUGCCGGUGUAGUGGUGAAAUGCGUAGAGAUCGGCAGGAACACCCAGGGGGAAACCAGCCGCCUGGGCAUGCGCUGACGCUGAGGUGCGAGAGCGUGGGGAGCGAACCGGAUUAGAUACCCGGGUAGUCCACGCCGUAAACGAUGGCCACUCGGCCUUUGGGGGCGGAAUCUCCGUCCGUGGGGGCCUUAGCUAACGCGGGAAGUGGCCCGCCUGGGAACUACGAGCGCAAGCUUA
rnacentral:rRNA from 1 species